GGGGCUGUAGCUCAGUGGUGGAGUGCUUGCCUAGCAUGUGAGAGGCACUGGGUUCAAUCCACAGUACCCCA
rnacentral:tRNA from 1 species